UACGUAGGGGGCUAGCGUUGUCCGGAAUCAUUGGGCGUAAAGCGCGCGUAGGCGGCCCUGUUAGUCCGCUGUAAAAGUCAAAGGCUCAACCUUUGAAUGCCGGUGGAUACUGCAGGGCUAGAGUCCGGAAGAGGCGAGUGGAACUCCUGGUGUAGCGGUGGAAUGCGCAGAUAUCAGGAAGAACACCAACGGCGAAGGCAGCUCGCUGGGACGGUACUGACGCUGAGACGCGAAAGCGUGGGGAGCGAACAGG
rnacentral:rRNA from 1 species